UGAGUUGGCUGGGUGAUCGCGAUCCUUGAACCACACCUCACCUUUGGGUGCGGUGUAGGCAAGUGGUCGAGGAAAGUCCGGACUCCACAGAGCACGGUGAUUGCUAACGGCAACCCGGGGUGACCCGAGGGCAUGUGCAACAGAAAGUAAACCGCCCCUACUUCGGUAGGGGUAAGGGUGAAAGGGUGCGGUAAGAGCGCACCGGCGGGGCAGGUGACUGCCCCGGCCAGGUAAACCCCACCGGGAGCAAGGCAAAACACGACAUACCUUGGUGUGUCGCGGCACAGGCGCUUAAAGGCUGCUCGCCUAGCCUGUGGGUAGCUGCUUGAGGCAACCAGCAAUGGUUCGCCCUAGAUGGAUGUUCACCGAACCGCGCUUAAGCACGCGGGGAACAGAAUCCGGCUUAUAGGCCAACUCAUUCG
rnacentral:RNase_P_RNA from 1 species